GAACUGCCUACGCAAGUAGUGAGGAAGGUGGGGAUGACGUCAAAUCAGCACGGCCCUUACGUCCAGGGCUACACACGUGCUACAAUGGUCGGUACAAAGGGUUGCCAAGCCGCGAGGUGGAGCUAAUCCCAUAAAACCGAUCGUAGUCCGGAUCGCAGUCUGCAACUCGACUGCGUGAAGUCGGAAUCGCUAGUAAUCGUGAAUCAGAAUGUCACGGUGAAUACGUUCCCGGGCCUU
rnacentral:rRNA from 1 species